UACGUAGGGGGCAAGCGUUGUCCGGAAUCAUUGGGCGUAAAGGGCUCGUAGGUGGCCAACUAAGUCAUACGUGAAAUCCCUCGGCUUAACCGGGGAACUGCGUCUGAUACUGGAUGGCUUGAGGUUGGGAGAGGGAUGCGGAAUUCCAGGUGUAGCGGUGAAAUGCGUAGAUAUCUGGAGGAACACCGGUGGCGAAGGCGGGUCUCUGGGACGGUACUGACGCUGAGACGCGAAAGCGUGGGGAGCGAACAGG
rnacentral:rRNA from 1 species